CUGUCCUCAUAGGAGAAGUGCUUCAGCCCACUGAUCACUUUUGUAACUCUGCACUGGACCUGCUCUAAUAGGUCCAUGUCCUUCUUGUACUGGAUCCCCAGAGCUGGACACAGUACUCCAGGUGGGAUGACAAGAGAAUAAGAGUAAAGGGGCAGAAGCACCUCCCUUGACCUGAUGGCCACACUUCUUUUGAUGGAGCCAAGGAUAAGACUGGCUUUCUGGGCUGCAAGUGCGCAUUGCCAGGUCACGUUCAAUUCUUUUCCUCUCAGUGUCUGAAAUGGUUCCUCAAGAAGCUUUCUACCUUCACUCCAGUUUUGCAACUGCUGAUGCCAAAACACUGGUCCACAAGCAGGAAGAUAUCCUUGGAAUGGCAGUAUUUUCAAUCAGACUGUCCCUUUCAAAGCUUUCAUUACUGAGCAGUAGAUAGAAUAAAGCUCUUAAAGCCUCAUUGCAAAACUUCUGAAGAGAGGACAUACCUUGCAAAAU